UUAUCCAAGACCUGGAGGACAGCAGACGGCAGAAGCUGCUUGGCGGCGGGCUGGUGGGAUAACAUAAGGUUUCCAGUCUCGGAUGAGGAAACUUCACAGAGGGCAGGAGGCAGAGCGACAUGAUAUCAAUGAUGGCGAGUCGUGACCAGUCACGUCAAGGGCCGUCGUAGUCUUCUGGUGCGGAACGACAGUCUCACAAAAUCAGGUGGCUGGUGGAGAAGAUCUGGGGGGCUCUGGAGUGACCCCAUGGGCGGUGUUGAGCCUGAAGCCUGUCCCAGCUGCAAACAGAGUCUACCUGUCUUCCUACACUGGUUUCCCCCGAGGAGGAGAAUUAGAGAAUGCUGUUCAUUUAUAAUGUUUGCUUUGCUUUUGGAAACACCUCGGGGCAACUCAGGAUAGGUUUUCACAGUGGUGUUUGACUUGGCUUAGUUGCAAAGUUCCCCCUUUUUAGUCUAUUUAUUGCAAGUUAGCGCACAGCCCCUAUGCAGGAGUCCAGCACCAGGUCUGACAGAAGUCGAGGGCAGGCACAUGAAAGGAAAUGGUGGGAGGGCUGAGUCGUGUGUCCUCACACCUUCCUUCCUGGCUGAGAGCUAAGCCGAGGUCCGACCUGUUCCUGCAGCCCAGUGAUGCCUCGGGAUGGAGGGAUACCUCCAGCCACGGCCUCCCCUCCAACAGGGCCCAAAGCAUUAUUUUCCAAGAAGGAGAUGUAAUCCCUUUUCUUAAGCUCCCGUUUGGCUUACCUGUUUCCUGUUCUUUGUAAAAAUUCAACCAGCUUUCACUAGUAAAUUGCUGGUCCUCUUGAUGUUUGCUUUCAAGCUCCAGUAGAUGGGGGCACCUGGGUGGUUCAGUGGGUUAAAGCCUCUGCCUUCAGCUCAUGA